rnacentral:rRNA from 1 species
AUGAACGCUGGCGGCGUGCCUAACACAUGCAAGUCGAACGGAGAUUUAACGCUGAUGAGGCUUCGGCGGAUUCUUGUUAAAUCUUAGUGGCGGACGGGUGAGUAACGCGUGGGCAACCUGCCUCAUACUGGGGGAUAACAGUUGGAAACGACUGUUAAUACCGCAUAAGCGCACAGCAUCGCAUGAUGCAGUGUGAAAAACUCCGGUGGUAUGAGAUGGGCCCGCGUCAGAUUAGCUAGUUGGCGGGGUAACGGCCCACCAAGGCGACGAUCUGUAGCCGGACUGAGAGGUCGGACGGCCACAUUGGGACUGAGACACGGCCCAAACUCCUACGGGAGGCAGCAGUGGGGGAUAUUGCACAAUGGAGGAAACUCUGAUGCAGCGACGCCGCCGUGAGUGAAGAAGUAUUUCGGUAUGUAAAGCUCUAUCAGCAGGGAAGAAAGGCUCGUAAGAGAGAUGACGGUACCUGACUAAGAAGCCCCGGCUAACUACGUGCCAGCCGCCGC